rnacentral:rRNA from 1 species
CCCUUAGAUGUUCUGGGCCGCACGCGCGCUACAAUAAUACGCACAGCGAGUAUCACCGAGCUCGAAAGGGCAAGGUAAACAAUAGAAAAGGUACUGUAAUGGUUAUAGAUCCUUGUAAUUAUUGAUCUUCAACGAGGAAUUCCUAGUAAGUAUGUGUCAUCAUCACGCACUGAUUACGUCCCUGCCCUUUGUACACACCGCCCGUCGCUCCUACCGAUUGGGUGAGCCGAUGAAACUCUCGGAUGUAGGCUAUUCAUAGCCCGCAGAAGAGAUUUGAAUCGUAGCGCUUAGAGGAAGGAGAAGUCGUAACA